AGAGUUUGAUCCUGGCUCAGGAUGAACGCUAGCGAUAGGCCUAACACAUGCAAGUCGAGGGGCAGCAUAGGGUAGCAAUACUUUGAUGGCGACCGGCGCACGGGUGAGUAACACGUAUGCAACCUACCUACAACAGGGGAAUAACCCGGAGAAAUUCGGACUAAUACCCCAUAAUACAGGGAUGCCGCAUGGCAAUAUUUGUUAAAGAUUUAUCGGUUGUAGAUGGGCAUGCGUUCCAUUAGAUAGUUGGUAAGGUAACGGCUUACCAAGUCAGCGAUGGAUAGGGGAACUGAGAGGUUUAUCCCCCACACUGGAACUGAGACACGGACCAGACUCCUACGGGAGGCAGCAGUGAGGAAUAUUGGUCAAUGGACGAGAGUCUGAACCAGCCAAAUCGCGUGAAGGAAGACUGCCUUAUGGGUUGUAAACUUCUUUUAUACAGGAAUAAAAAGAGGGAUGUAUCCCUUAUUGCAUGUACUGUAUGAAUAAGCAUCGGCUAACUCCGUGCCAGCAGCCGCGGUAAUACGGAGGAUGCGAGCGUUAUCCGGAUUUAUUGGGUUUAAAGGGUGCGCA
rnacentral:rRNA from 1 species